UACGUAGGGUGCAAGCGUUUGUCCGGAAUUAUUGGGCGUAAAGAGCUCGUAGGCGGUCUGUCGCGUCUGCUGUGAAAACUCAGGGCUUAACCCUGAGCUUGCAGUGGGUACGGGCAGACUAGAGUGCGGUAGGGGAGACUGGAAUUCCUGGUGUAGCGGUGAAAUGCGCAGAUAUCAGGAGGAACACCGGUGGCGAAGGCGGGUCUCUGGGCCGUAACUGACGCUGGAGGAGCGAAAGCAUGGGGAGCGAACAGG
rnacentral:rRNA from 1 species